rnacentral:rRNA from 1 species
UGCGAAGGGGGCUAGCGUUGUUCGGAAUUACUGGGCGUAAAGCGCACGUAGGCGGACUAUUAAGUCAGGGGUGAAAUCCCGGGGCUCAACCCCGGAACUGCCUUUGAUACUGGUAGUCUCGAGUCCGGAAGAGGUGAGUGGAAUUCCGAGUGUAGAGGUGAAAUUCGUAGAUAUUCGCAAGAACACCAGUGGCGAAGGCGGCUCACUGGACUGGUAUUGACGCUGAGGUGCGAAAGCGUGGGGAGCAAACAGG